rnacentral:rRNA from 1 species
CCUACGGGAGGCAGCAGUGGGGAAUUUUGGACAAUGGACGCAAGUCUGAUCCAGCCAUUCCGCGUGCAGGACGAAGGCCUUCGGGUUGUAAACUGCUUUUGUACGGAACGAAAAAGCUCUUAUUAAUACUAGGAGUCCAUGACGGUACCGUAAGAAUAAGCACCGGCUAACUACGUGCCAGCAGCCGCGGUAAUACGUAGGGUGCAAGCGUUAAUCGGAAUUACUGGGCGUAAAGCGUGCGCAGGCGGUUAUAUAAGACAGAUGUGAAAUCCCCGAGCUUAACUUGGGAACUGCAUUUGUGACUGUAUAGCUAGAGUACGGCAGAGGGGGAUGGAAUUCCGCGUGUAGCAGUGAAAUGCGUAGAUAUGCGGAGGAACACCGAUGGCGAAGGCAAUCCCCUGGGCCUGUACUGACGCUCAUGCACGAAAGCGUGGGGAGCAAACAGGAUUAGAUACCCUGGUAGUCCACGCCCUAAACGAUGUCAACUGGUUGUUGGGUCUUCACUGACUCAGUAACGAAGCUAACGCGUGAAGUUGACCGCCUGGGGAGUACGGCCGCAAGGUUGAAACUCAAAUGAAAUUGAGG